CAAGUUGUAUUGAUUAUCUCAUUUAAUCCUGACCACCCUGAGGAAGGGAGGUGUCCACACUGUAAAAUGAAGAAACAGAGGCUCAGAAAGUUAGUUGCCCUGACAUCACAGAGCUGGUAAGUGGAAGGGCCAGGAUUUAACCCUGGCAGCCCAGAGCGUGAUUUGUAUUCUGCAAUAACAUUUCCUUAAUUUCUGAGCCUUAGUUCCCCUUUUUACCUAUAGGUAUAGCACCAAGUCCCAUCACAGAGUAAAAACCUGUUAAACAUUAAUUUUCCUUGCCUUCCUCAGGUUUCCCUAAUGUGGGAAAGUCCUCACUGAUCAAUGGGCUGGUGGGGCGGAAAGUCGUGAGUGUCUCCAGAACCCCGGGCCAUACCCGAUACUUUCAGACCUACUUUCUUACCCCCUCUGUGAAGCUCUGUGACUGCCCAGGCCUCAUCUUCCCAUCUCUUCUGCCUAGGCAGUUGCAGGUAUGACAGGGAGGGUGGGUAAGGGAAACAGAGAAGGUGGGACAUUGAGGAAGGUACUGAGUGCUCAUUUCCCUCAGGUUCUGGCAGGGAUCUACCCUAUUGCCCAGAUCCAGGAGCCCUACACUGCUGUGGGCUACCUGGCCUCCCGAAUUCCCG
rnacentral:sRNA from 1 species